rnacentral:tRNA from 4 species
GGUCGUUUGCCAGAGUGGUUAAUGGGUGCCCCUGCUAAGGGUAUGGUCUCCGACCGCGUGUGUUCGAAUCGCACAGCGACCG